GAUGAACGCUGGCGGCGUGCCUAAUACAUGCAAGUCGAGCGAACAGACGAGGAGCUUGCUCCUCUGACGUUAGCGGCGGACGGGUGAGUAACACGUGGAUACCCUACCUAUCAGACUGGGAUAACUUCGGGAAACCGGAGCUAAUACCGGAUAAUCUAUUGAACCGCAUGGUUCAAUAGUGAAAGACGGUUUUGCUGUCACUUAUAGAUGGAUCCGCGCCGCAUUAGCUAGUUGGUAAGGUAACGGCUUACCAAGGCAACGAUGCGUAGCCGACCUGAUAGGGUGAUCGGCCACACUAGAACGGGAACACGGUCCAGACUCCUACGGGAGGCAGCAGUAGGGAAUCUUCCGCAAUGGGCGAGAGCCUGACGGAGCAACGCCGCGUGAGUGAUGAAGGUCUUCGGAUCGUAAAGCUCUGUUAUUAGGUAAGAACAAAUGUGUAAGUAACUAUGCACGUCUUGACGGUACCUAGUCAGAAAGCCACGGCUAACUACGUG
rnacentral:rRNA from 1 species